UGUGUGUGUGUGUGUGUGUGUGUGUGCGCGCGCGCAUGCUCACACACACACACACACUCC
rnacentral:miRNA from 1 species